GUCAUUUAGUGAAGACAGAUCUGUGACAGAGUCGCACGUGACGGAGAGAUACAACAAACAGGCACAAAAAAAACAACAAAAAAACUUUAGAAAAGAAAGAAAGAAAAAAAAUCAAAACAGUUCAUAGAAAGUACAGAACAUCCGCUUUGAAGCCAGAACAACGGCACAAGCAAUGUAGUCUCUAUUUUCCUUAUUUCUCGGAGAAGGAGUUACAUUUUAUCCUCUGACAGUCGAGUGCACUAAGUAUGUAAAUCCGCUGAACACGCUAUAGACGACGAUAGAAGCGAACUAUACAACGAUGGGGUUUUCUGCAGUCAUCCUUGUAGCCUGCGCGUCAUGGUUGGCAGAGGGACACCUCGCUGACAACAUGGUGCAUGACACAGGACUGCCAACGUGUCAUGCAGUGCUCCACCAGGCGACACACCCGCCCAUAUCCGCCCCGAUGCCUCCUGAUAUCCGAGGGAAGUGGGUGUCAACAA